GCUGGGCAUGGUGGCGGGUGCCUGUAAUCCCAGCUACUUGGGAGGCUGAGGCAGGAGAAUUACUUGAACCCAGGAGGCAGAGGCUGCAGUGAGCUGAGAUCGUGCCACUGCACUCCAGCCUGGGUGACAGAGUGAGACUCUGUCUCAA
rnacentral:SRP_RNA from 1 species